rnacentral:rRNA from 1 species
UGGAGCAGCCAUAUCAUCCUGCAACCCACAACUGGCAACCCACUGAAGCUAAGCAGGUGUGAGCCUGGUCAGUACCUGGAGGGGAGGCCUUCUGGGAAAAACGAAGGUUGCUGCUGGAA